UUUGUCACCUUAUUCCCGUAGUCGAUGUGGGUAAAGUGACAGAGGUUCAUUCGUAGGUGAGUGACUGAGUGAGCUCAUGUGUCAACUAGCUCGGUUUGUUUUGUUUUGCUCGCGUUUCCGAAUUUUAAAAUUAGUUUUUUAAUGAACAACUGCGAAUUUAGUUUCGGAAAAUACCACAAUCCAAUUUUAAGGUGUUAGCAAGUCGUCCAGGCCGGAUUUGGAGCCGAAAUUUGCAGCGGAUGAGCCGGUAAGCUGACUGAUUGGAGUAAAAAAACUAACCGCAAGUUAUUUUCCUACACCGUAGCCACCACAAGGCCGCUGUGGAAAAGCAGUAUGAGGCGGUGCUCAUUUCUGAGGCUACGUGUUGUCGGAAAAUGUAAUCGUAGAGACAAUUUCGCACCAACAUCCGGAAAUGUCCAAUCGCCACGGAAAACCCUGGAAACUACACCGAGCAGCUGCGGAAAUCUGCCACAAGCGGAACAUGAUAGAUGGUUUCCAAUAUGCCGCCUUGCGAAGUAACUGCCCAUGAUGCUGGAUGAUUCAACGCAGCUGUCUGAAAUGUGGCAGCUCUCUGAAAUUUGCAACAGGCAAUCCGGGAAGCAAAUUAAAUUUUUAAUAAUU